ACCUACGGGGGGCAGCAGUGAGGAAUAUUGGUCAAUGGGAGAGAUCCUGAACCAGCCAAGCCGCGUGAGGGAAGACGGCCCUAUGGGUUGUAAACCUCUUUUGUCGGAGAACAAAACCCGGGACGUGUCCCGGACUGCGUGUAUCCGAAGAAAAAGCAUCGGCUAACUCCGUGCCAGCAGCCGCGGUAAUACGGAGGAUGCGAGCGUUAUCCGGAUUUAUUGGGUUUAAAGGGUGCGUAGGCGGUCCGUUAAGUCAGCGGUAAAAUUGCGGGGCUCAACCCCAUCGAGCCGUUGAAACUGGCAGG
rnacentral:rRNA from 1 species